UGACCAGAAACUGCUCAGUCAUCGGGAUUGGACAAGCAACGAAAUGUGCUCCAUGUACUAACUGCACAGCUAUUUUUAAAGAGACUCUGGUUCCGUGUACUGCUUACACCAACUCAGUUUGCUUUCUGAGACCCACAGCGAUGCCUCAGCCAACUGAGUUACCAGCCCUAGGUCCUUCUACCUCUAUUGUGAUCAAGACCGUUUCUGUAUCCCUGCUGCUGUUUGUGUUCAUCCUUCUGGCGCUCUUCUUGACAUGGGUAUACCGAAGGAACAAGGGGCCAUUAGUGAAGCACGCUCCAAUCAAAACGGAGCUGCCACUGAAGGCAGGCCUACCUGUUUGACCCGCCUCACUCGUCGACUUCAGUGUGAAAAUGAAAGCCGAAUGGAAGAGUUCCUUUCAGCAGGUCAGCUUCAAUUCUUCAGAUCUCUAGAUCCUAACUGGUUCCGCUGGUAGCCCCGCCCUGUGAGAGCCCCAAGUAUAGGCUUAAGAUAGGGUCAGCUAGAUGUCUUAACAAGAGGCUAGAUAGGGUCAAAGUGUAGUUAGGUAGUUAGGUCUCAGGACAGCUUAUUUUCUAAAGCCCGGCGUACACUGUGCGAUUUUCGGGGUGAUUUUCCAGUCGUGCGAGAAUCUUUCGAUUGAAGGUUUGAUUGGAGGACGCUUCAGAUGUGUUACUCUGCAGUUAAAACCCGUUUAGAACAUCGACUCUAACCCAGCUGAGCCCUUGUCGUCAGAGGAAGUAGUUUGGCUCAGACCAAACAGGAAGUGGUUAGAAAGAGGAGUCCGAACCACUUCAGACAGACAGACAGACAGACAGACAGACAGACAGACAGACAGACAGACAGACAGACAGACAGACAGACAGACAGACAGACAGACAGACAGACAGACAGACAGAUAGAUAGAUAGAUAGAUAGAUAGAUAGUGAUGGCACACCUGAAAAACAUUCCAAGAAAAGUAUUGUAAUAUUACGUAUUUUCUUAAACACGUUUAUUUCCUUUGUGUGUACUGCAAUAACACCCAAAACAAAGAAAAAAAAGUUAGGUUUGACAUCACUUCACAUAAAACGUGUUAAAUAAAAGCUGGGAGCAAUCAAAGAUUGUCACCCUAAACCAGAUCAAUAGAAGAGACAUUGACUCAGUCUUUGCACCGUGUCUACGUGUGUGCGACACUCAGCGCUUACUGUAUCUCUAGAGAUCGGGAAGUGCGUCAAUACUCGGAACGCCACCGUAUCGCCACGUUUGCCUUCAGCAGGAUAAUGAUUCCAAACAUAUCAAACAGCCCCUAAAACACAGAAACACUGCUGAAAUAUUCUGAAGUGGCCAACAAUAAGUACAUCAUAAACUAGCCGUAUUAACAAACAUAAUAUUGCAAAUAUCUUUCAUUAUAUGGAAAGGUUUCAGGUGUGUCACCGCUUUGGGCCAGGAUCAGAUGGUUUUAUUCUUUCUCCCAGCUUGUCUCUCAUUGAAUCAGUUUGAUCAAACUUUCAUUCUUAUACUGUUCAGAUUUUAUGUACUGUCAAUUGCCUUCAAAAACAACUGAAUUUAUGGUCAGAGAGGUCAUGGAAAUGCUUGUAUCUUUUACCUGCAGUCAGUGUACUAGGGAAUUUUUAGGUGGCAGAAGUUUUAAAGGCUGCAACAAGAGAGUGUGUUUAAAGGUUCACCCUUGGUAAGGAUUAGGAGAUAAACAAGCAUUAAAUGGCCAUUAUUAGCUGUUAUCAGUCCCAUAGAAUGGCUCCAGACUGCGUCUCCUCUACCUUCUAGUUGGUUUCUCAUGGCUGAUAAUAAGCAACUAAUCGUUUCGAGCAGCCGCUUCGGUAGCGUCUAAAACCUUCAAGUUCUAUUUACCUACUUUAUGCUUUUUAUCUACUUUAUUUACAGCCUACAUUAUUAAAAAGUGUUGUAAAGCUUUACUUUGAGUGAAUUCUACAUGUUUAAGUCACACAGAUUUAAUGUGGUCUAUAAAAAAACAACUUAGUUUAUAGGAUAUGUGAUUUUUUUGUGAGCGGCAUGCCAGUCAACUUCUUUUUUUUUUUUUUUUCAAUAGAUUAAGAACUACUAAAAUCAUGUUCAGAUUACACUCAAAUAAAUUAGUUAAUUCUCCGGAUAAAAAUGGAAUUACCUCAGAGUUAGGUUUAUGUUUUAUUCAGUGAUAACAACCUACUGAGCCUACUGGGAUGUAGGAGCCACAACCGCUAAUAAUGGCCGUAUACUGGGAUGAUAAUAUCCGAAGUGACUGAGAUAGAUCAACCAUUGACAAACCCAGGUCUGACCAACCUCAGCUCCUGUUAAUCACUAACUAUUUAUUCCUCUGUAGGGACUGAAGGUUAAGGUUUGUCUGUAAACAAAGUGCGUUGAAUACAAACAUUACAUCCUCAUUGCAUUUAUUUGAAACUGUACAACUUCUUCAGUCGAGGCAGACAGUUUUCUCAGUGCAGUUUUAUGAUUAAAAUACUUGCUUUUUUUUAUAUCUAAGGUACUCAAAUCCCGUAAUUUGGUUUAAACUAAAAGUUUGAGUUUAAAUAUGAAUCAAAAUAUAUGAGCUGGACAGGAAGGUCAUUAGAUAAAAUUUAGAAAUUAUUAAAAA